rnacentral:rRNA from 1 species
UACAGAGGUGGCAAGCGUUGUUCGGAAUUACUGGGCGUAAAGGGCGCGUAGGCGGUCUUGUAAGUCUUGUGUGAAAUCCCUCGGCUUAACUGAGGAACUGCACGAGAUACUGCGAGACUUGAGUUCGGGAGAGGAAAGCGGAAUUCCGGGUGUAGCGGUGAAAUGCGUAGAUAUCCGGAGGAACACCGGUGGCGAAGGCGGCUUUCCAGAACGCGCUCGACGGUGAGGGAUGAAAGCUGGGGGAGCAAACCGG